GCCACGGUGGUCUAGCGGUCAAAACGCUGGCCUUGUAAUCCUGGGGUCUCGGGUUCGAUUCCCGGCGGUGCCC
rfam:Zootermopsis nevadensis contig29575, whole genome shotgun sequence.